rnacentral:rRNA from 1 species
UACGGAGGGGGCUAGCGUUGUUCGGAAUUACUGGGCGUAAAGCGCACGUAGGCGGAUAUUUAAGUCAGGGGUGAAAUCCCGCAGCUCAACUGCGGAACUGCCUUUGAUACUGGGUAUCUAGAGUAUGGAAGAGGUGAGUGGAAUUCCGAGUGUAGAGGUGAAAUUCGUAGAUAUUCGGAGGAACACCAGUGGCGAAGGCGGCUCACUGGUCCAUUACUGACGCUGAGGUGCGAAAGCGUGGGGAGCAAACAGG